rnacentral:lncRNA from 1 species
UCAAAGGGAUAGGACCACUGAGAUACUUACUCUAGUACACAUACAAUAUGCAUGGCCCAUUUGAUGAGCCAGACUAGGAGGUUAUCACUACUUCAUCACCUUUAUCGAUGAACUGUCAUGGUAUCGGUAUGUAUAUGAGAUACAAAUAUGAAAGAUUUUAAAAAGUUCAAAGGAUUUAGAUAUGAAGUAGAAAAGAUAAAUCAAAAAUUUCUAGAGGUACUUCAAUC